rnacentral:lncRNA from 1 species
AGCAAUUCCUGAGAAUCCUCGGAGGAAGAGGCCGGGGCCCGGUGCGGCAGCGCCUUGGGGGCGGAAUCGCAGGCGCGGGUCGGGCCUUGCUGGGGCGCGGGGCGCGGCCCCCGGAGAAAGCGGCCGCCUCGGGACAGGAGGGACCCGGGAGAAACCCCCCUGGGGCGGCUCCGCAUGUCGGGGUCGCGACUCUAGGCGACCUUGGUAGAGGGGCUCGUUUGCGCCGAGCUCGCGACCCCCGAGGGAGCCACGGCCCCGUGAACCACGCUGCCCGUCCUGGCCACUGGCUGCCGCCUUUGUUUCGUGGGACCCCAGCCCGCAAGGCCUGCGGAGCCGCGGCCUCGUCCCGAGUGUUCUGAGCGCGGUCCGAGCUGCUCCUGCGUCCACUCUGCUGCCGACACCCGAGCGUCGCCUGGAGCCCUGGCACUGAGGGGCGCAGGCCGAGUUCCAGACCAGCCUGGGAAACGCAAAGCGACCCCACCUCCACAAAAGUGGGUUUUCUUUAAGUUUUUGACUAGUCCGCAAUUCACAGAAUUGACAUUUUGGCAGAUGAAGAUUGCAAGUAAGGAAACUAACGGUAUCUCAGAUUUGUUCUUUAGCAAUUUGCUAAACCUCUCCUCUGACUGCCUUUAUUAGGUAUUUGUUUUCGAGACAGGGUCUCACUCCACUGCUUAGGCUGUACUGCAGUGGCGCGAUCCCAGCUCGCUGCAGCCUCCACCUCCCGGACUCCAGUGAUCCUCCCGCCUCAGCCUCCCAAGUAGCUGGUACCACAGGCGCCAGCACGCCUGGCUAAUUGUUGUAUUUUAUGUAGAGAAGAGGUCUCCCUGUGUUGCCCAGCCUGGUCUUGAAUUGGGCUCAAGUGAUCCUCCUGCUUCAGCCUCCCAUAUCGCUGGAAUUACUGGCAUAAGCCACUACACCCGGCCUGAUCAUCUUUAAAGAAGGUGGUUCUGGCCGGGCGUGGUGGCUCACACCUGUAACCCCAACACUUUGGGAGACCGAGAAGGGUGGAUCACCUGAGGUCAGGAGUUCAAGACCAGCCUGGCCAACGUGGUGAAACCCCAUCUCUACUAAAAAUACAAAAAUUAGCCAGGCAUGGUGGUGGGCACCUGUAAUUCCAGCUACUUGGGAGGCUGAGGCAGGAGAAUCGCUUGAACACGGGAAGCAGAGGUUGCAGCGAGCCUAGACCACACCAUUGCACUCCAGUUCGGGCAACAAGAUGAAACUCUGGCUGGGCGCGGUGGCUCACACCUGUAAUUCCAACACUUUGGGAGGCCAAGGCAGGCAGAUCACCUGAGGUCAGGAGUUCAAGACCAGCCUGGCCAAGAUGAUGAAACCCCAUCUCUACUAAAAUUACAAAAACUUAGCCAGGCAUGGUGGUGCAUGCCUGUAAUCCCAGCUACUCAGGAGGCUGAGGCAGGAGAACCACUUGAACCCAGGAGGCAGAGGUUGCAGUGAGCCAAGAUCGUGCCACUGUACUCCAGCCUGGGCAACAAGAGCGAAACUCCAUCUCAAAAAAGAAAAAAGAAACUCCGUCUCAAAAAGAAGGUGGUUCACACACACACACACACACCCCCAAGAAAGCUCAGGGCUGGAAGGCAGCCAACCUGGCUGUGACCCUCAUCCUGCACACGUGAGCUUGGUGACCAGUAGCUGAUUCUUUAACUCUCUAAGCUUUGGAGUCUGGAUGUGAGGUUUAGAAUUCAUGACAAGAAGCUGGAAGGAUGCCGCCAGUCUGACUCCUGGACUGGUUCUCUUGACAUCUUUGCAAAAGCUGCUGAAAUGUUCUGGUUUCAUUUCAUUCUUUUCUUUGCCAUGAUCUCUUAGAUUUGUUCGUGGCAAUUCUCAUAAGAGUGAAGAAAAUGUUUAAAAUGGCUGUUGGGCUCCCUUUUGUGACACCUUGUGGGGAAGGUGCCCAGGUAUGUAUAGGUGCUGAGCGCACGGCCAGCAUGGUGUCUGUGGCCGGGCCUCCCUCCUGGACAGUGCGGCCACAGCCCCUGAAAGGUAUGUCUUCAUUUUUAUUUUAUUUUAUUGAGAUGGAGUCUCGCUCUGUCGCCCAGGCUGGAGUGCAGUGGCGCGAUCUCGGCUCACUGUAAGCUCCGCCUCCCAGGUUCAAGCCAUUCUCCUGCCUCAGCCUCCCGAGUAGCUGGGACUACAGGCACCUGCCACCACGCCCGGCUAAUUUUUUUUUUUUUUUUUUUUUUGUAAUUUUAAUAGAGACAGGGUUUCAGCGUGUUAGCCAGGAUGGUCUCGAGCUCCUGACCUUGUGAUUCGCCCGCCUCAACCUCCCAAAGUGCCUGGCCUUCAUUUUUAUUUUUGAACUUACCUGCCUCACCUCGUUAUGUCUUUAUCUUAUUUUUAAACUUACUCAGUUCACCCACUGUGGAAUUGGGAGUAUAUGGAAGUAUUCCCACCCCCAGUUUUAUAUACCGCCCCAGAGCUGACCAUUCUCGCUCAUUUCCCCGGGUCCUGGCCGACUCGAGUGUGCCUUUCCUUCCGAUCCUGCUCCACACAGAUCUGAGGGAUGCUGCCCUUUCCUUCUCCACCUGCCCCUCCCUCACAUCCAGCCCCACCAGCCUACACGUUAGCUUAAAUAGGGAGCUUUUACAUUCCCCAUGAAAGGGAAUCCAGGGACAGGCUGAGGCAAGAGACCCCCAGUGUUCAUGAGAUGCCAUCUAGAGAAAACACCGUGGUGCUGAAGGCCUAAGUCAGACCCCGGGGAGAGAGGCACCAGGGUGACUUUGGGUGGAGAGUCCUGUGCCUGUUCUACUUCUAUAAAUAUACUCAGGUCAGGCACGGUGGCUCACGCCUGUAAUCCCAGCACGUUGGGAGGCCGAGGCAGGCGGAUCAUUUGAGGUCAGGAGUUCAAGACUAGCCUGGCCAACAUGGUGAAACCCCAUCUCUACUAAAAAUACAAAAAAAUGGCUGGGCACAGUGGCUCACACCUGUAAUCCCAGCAUGUUGGGAGGCCAAGGCAGGCAGAUCAUUUGCGGUCGGGAGUUCAAGACCAGCCUGACCAACAUGGAGAAACCCCGUCUCUACUAAUAAUACAAAAAUUAGCCAGGCAUGGUGGCACAUGCCUGUAAUCCCAGCUACUCGGGAGACUGAGGCAUAAGAAUCGCUUGAACCCAGGAGGCAGAGGUUCUGGUGAGCCGAGAUCACGCCAUUGCACUCCAGCCUGGGCAACAAAAAGCAAAACUCCAUCUCAAAAAAAAAAUACAAAAAAAUGAGCUGGGCGUGGUGGCCUGCACCUGUAAUCCCAGCUACUUGGGAGGCUGAGGCAGGAGAAUCACUUGAACCCAGAAGGUGGAGGUUGCGGUGAGCAGAGACCACACCACUGCACUCCAGCCUGGGUGACAGAGUGAACCAUGUCUCUAAAUAAAUAAAUAAUAUGUUUGUCUGAAAGUGCCUUUUUAACAAAGUAUGAGAUGUGUACAUAAAGUGCACAUAGCGCAAGUGUCGCACGCAGUGGAUUUUCACACGCAGCACGUGAAAUGGGAAAACACUGGCCCGGCACGGUGGCUCACACCUGUCAUCCCAGCACUUUGGGAGGCCGAGGCGGGCGGAUCACAAGGUCAGGAGAUCGAGACCAUCCUGGCUAACACGGUAAAACCGCGUCUCUACUAAAAAUACAAAAAAUUAGCCGGGCGUGGUGGCGGGCGCCUGUAGUCCCAGCUACUUGGGAGGCUGAGGCAGGAGAAUGGCGUGAACCCGGGAGGCGGAGCUUGCAGUGAGCCAAGAUCGCGCCACUGCACUCCAGCCUGGGCGACAGAGCUAGACUCCGUCUCAAAAAAAAAAAAAAAAAGAAAUGGGAAAACAUUGAGGAUGAAGUAGCAAAUAUUUGAGAAUUCAACUUGAUUGGUGGCUGUUGCAGGUUCAUACGUGAGUGGUUACGUAGUGGGUAGUUAAACUGACAAUGACCAGCUGAAUUUUGGUGACAGGACUGCUCCUAAGGUUUGAAAUGUAGCGUAUCCUCUGAUUCACGGGCUAAGCUCUGCCACUUAGCAGGAGGAGCUCAUGAUAGAGCAGGUUGAGGGGAAAACUUUGCCCCAUAAGGGUUCUUCACUGCAAGUGAGAAGGUCUUGGCUUUGAGCCUCCAAUUUCAAUCAGACAGAAAGCAGACCAGUCGGCAGGACAGUAUAUGCCUCUGGAGAUCCGUGCUGAUGUGGGGGCCUCAGAUACAAGAUGCCUCAGGGCCCAGGCGUGACCCUCUCCUUCCCUCCUGCACGGAGAUGCUGUGAGAAUUAGACACUCCCACAGGGCCCUGUCAGACACUGAGCUAGCCUCUGGGAACCGGAAGAUAUUCAAAACACCAGCCACCCCCCACACACACAGACAAGGCGCUGGAGGGACAGCUGUGCAGCGGCAGAGCAUGAGAGGUCUUGAUCAGUUAACUCAGUGAGGUUAGGAGGCGAAUUUUUUUUUUUUUGAGAUGGAGUCUUACUUUGUCACCCAGUCAGGAGUGCAGUGGCGUGAUCUCGGCUCACUGCAACCUCCGCCUCCUGGCCUCAAGUGAUUCUUCCGCCUCAGCCUCCCGAGUAGCUGGGACUACAGGUGCGUGCCACCACACCCAGCUAAUUUUUGUAUUUUUGGUAGAGACAGUGUUUCACCACGUUGGACAGGCUGGUCUCAAUCUCUUGACCUCGUUAUCUGCCUGCCCUGGCCUCCCAAAGUGCUGGGAUUAUAGGUGUGAGCCACAAAGCCUUUUUGUUUUCAUUUUUGAGAUGGAGUCUCGCUCUGUCGCCCAGGCUGGAGUGCAGUGGCAUGAUCUCAGCUCACUGCAACCUCUGCAUCCCAGUUCAAGCAGUUCUCCGCCUCGGCCUCCUGAGUAGCUGGGAUCACAGGUGCCCGCCACCACACUUGGCUAAUUUUUUGUAUUUUUAGUAGAGAUGAGGUUUCACCGUGGUGGCCAGGCUGGUCUCAAACUCCUGACCUCAAAUGAUCUGCCUGCCUCGGCUUCCCAAAGUGCUGGGAUGACACUGAGCCACCGCGCCUGGCAAGGAGUCUCGCUCUGCUCUUCCAGUUUGAAUAUCACGCAGGCUGGAGCGCAGUGGCGCAAUCUCGGCUCACUGCAACCUCUGCCUCCUGGGUUCAAGCAAUUCUGCCUCAGCCACCCGAGUAGCUGGGAUUACAGGCACACGCCACCAUGCCCGGCUAAUUUUUGUAUUGUAUUAGAGACAGGGUUUCACCAUGUUGGCGAGGCUGGUCCCGAACUCCUGGCCUCAAGUGAUCUGCCCGCCGUCCGCCUCAGUGUCCCGAGGUGCUGGGAUUACAGGUGUGAGCCACCGCACCCAGCAAAAGUGCUUUCUCGAGAUGGAAUCUGCGCCUGGUGAAGAUGCUCUAAACAUUGCUGAGAUAACAAAGGAUUUAGAAUAUUCCAUAAACUUCGUUGGUACAGCAGCGAUAGGGUUCGAGAGGAUUUUCCAGUUGUGAGAGAAGGUCUGCUGUGGACAAAAUGCUACCAAACAGCAUCGCGUGCUACGGAGAAAUCUUUUGUGAAAGGAAGAAGCUCAAUGUGGCCAGCUUUAUUGUUGUCUUAUUUUAAGAAAUUGCUGGCCGGGUGUGGUGGAGAAUCACUUGAACCCAGGAGGCAGAGGUUGCAGUGAGCCGAGAUCACGCCAUUGAACUCCAGCUGGGCAUAAGAGCAAAACUCCAUCUCAAAAAAAAAAAAAAAAAGGAAGAAAUUGCCACAGCCACCUCAGCCUUCAGCCACCACCACCCUGAUCAGUCAGCAGCCACAAACAAGACCUUCCACCAGCAAAGAGAUCCCAACUUCCUCAAGCCUCAGGUGAUUGCUGGCACUUUCUAUCAGUAUCUUAGUUUUUUGUUUGUUUGUUUUUUAAUUUUUGAGACAGAGUCUCACUCUCUUGCCCAGGCUGGAAUGUAGUGGCACCAUCUCGGCUCACUGCAACCUCCGCCUCCCAGGUUCAAGCGAUUCUCUUACCUUAGCCUCCGGAGGAGCUGGGACUACAAGCACGCACCACCACACCCGGCUGAUUUUUUUCCAUUUUUAGUAGAGACGGGGUUUCACCAUGUUGGCCAGGCUGGUCUCGAACUCCUGGCCUCAGGUGAUCCGCCCACCUUGGCCUCCCACAGUGCUAGGAUUACAGGUGUGAGCCACCACCCCCAGCCAUUUUUUUUUUGAGACGAGGUCUUGCUUUGUUGCCCAGACUAGAGUGCAGUGACAUUAUCUCGGCUCACGGCAACCUCUGCCUCCCAGGCUGAAGCAAUCCUCCCACCUCUGUCUCCCUAGUAGCUGGGACCACAGGUGCACACCCCCACACCCGGCUAAUUUUUUGUAUUUUUGGUAGAGACAGGGUUUCACCAUGUUGCCCAGGCUGGUCUCCUGAGCUCAUGCAAUCUGCCCACUUGACCUCCCAAAGUGCUGGGAUUACAGGUGUGAGCCACUGUGCCCAGCCUAUUAUUAUUAUUAUUUAUUGUUUUUUUGGUCUUGAGGGAGGGUAGGGUGGUGGGAGCCCAGUUGGGGAGGGAGUGAGGAGUGGUCAAUAAAGUAUUUUAAAUUGAGGCAUAUGCAUUGUUUUGUAAACAUAAUGUUAUUGCACACCUGACUGCACUGUGGUAUAAACAUAACUUUUAUAUGCAGUGGAAAACCGAAAAAUCCCUCCGACUGGCUUUAUUGCGACAUUUGUGUUAUUGCGGUGUCUAGAACUGAACCGUGGUAACCCAGGCCCGCCUGUGCUAACUUCCAGCACUACCGAGGUUGACGCAGCUAGAUGGUUUUCUCCCCGGCUGGUUGCUGCUUCUCACCCACAGAGGCGGUGGAGCCCUUGGAACUGGGCAGAACACAGGGCUGCCUUGUCACCACUGCCUGGCUGAACCUGAAAUUGGGCCGUUUGACAGAAAGACUUGAAAGGGCCACCAGUAAAUUCUUUUUUCUUUUCA